AGGCCGUGAUGGGGACACUUGCAUAAUAGCUCCUUGAACCUUUCCCAAGUUUCAUAUAAGGAUUCCCCAUCCUCUUGUGAAUAUGUAUUAAUUUCAGUCAUUAACUU
rnacentral:snoRNA from 1 species